rnacentral:rRNA from 1 species
GAUGAACGCUGGCGGCGUGCUUAACACAUGCAAGUCGAACGGGGAUAAGACAGCGGAAGUAAUGCUUGCAUUAUGGAAGGGGUCAUAUUCUAGUGGCGGACGGGUGAGUAACGCGUGGGCAACCUGCCUUAUACAGGGGGAUAACAGCUGGAAACAGCUGCUAAUACCGCAUAAGCGCACAGUGUCGCAUGGCACAGUGUGAAAAACUAAGGUGGUAUAAGAUGGGCCCGCGUCUGAUUAGCUAGUUGGGAGGGUAACGGCCUGCCAAGGCAACGAUCAGUAGCCGGCCUGAGAGGGCGGACGGCCACAUUGGGACUGAGACACGGCCCAG